UACAGAGGUCCCAAGCGUUGUUCGGAUUCACUGGGCGUAAAGGGUGCGUAGGUGGCCGGGUAAGUCUGACGUGAAAUCCCGCAGCUCAACUGCGGAACUGCGUCGGAUACUCUCCGGCUCGAGGAAUGGAGGGGAGACUGGAAUUCUCGGUGUAGCAGUGAAAUGCGUAGAUAUCGAGAGGAACACCCGUGGCGAAAGCGGCUCUCUGGAACGGUACUGACGCUGAGACGCGAAAGCGUGGGGAGCGAACAGG
rnacentral:rRNA from 1 species